UACGGGAGGCAGCAGUGGGGAAUAUUGCACAAUGGGCGAAAGCCUGAUGCAGCUAUGCCGCGUGUAUGAAGAAGGCCUUAGGGUUGUAAAGUACUUUCAUCGGGGAGGAAAAAACAAAAACUAAUAAUUUUAUUUCUUGACGUUACCCGAAAAAGAAGCACCGGCUAACUCCGUGCCAGCAGCCGCGGUAAUACGGAGGGUGCUAGCGUUAAUCAGAAUUACUGGGCGUAAAGAGCACGUAGGUGGUUUUUUUAAGUCAGAUGUGAAAUCCCUGGGCUUAACCUAGGAACUGCAUUUUGAAACUGAAAUACUAGAGUAUCGUAGAGGGAGGUAGAAUUCUAGGUGUAGCGGUGAAAUGCGUAGAUAUCUGGAGGAAUACCUGUGGCGAAAGCGGCCUCCUAAACGAAUACUGACACUGAGGUGCGAAAGCGUGGGGAGCAAACAGGGAUUAGAUAC
rnacentral:rRNA from 1 species